rnacentral:rRNA from 1 species
AACGAACGCUGGCGGCAGGCCUAACACAUGCAAGUCGAGCGAAGCCUUCGGGCUUAGCGGCGGACGGGUGAGUAACGCGUGGGAACGUGCCCUUUGGUACGGAAUAGCCCCGGGAAACUGGGAGUAAUACCGUAUGUGCCCUUCGGGGGAAAGAUUUAUCGCCAAAGGAUCGGCCCGCGUUGGAUUAGGUAGUUGGUGGGGUAAUGGCCUACCAACCCGACGAUCCAUAGCUGGUUUGAGAGGAUGAUCAGCCACACUGGGACUGAGACACGGCCCAGACUCCUACGGGAGGCAGCAGUGGGGAAUCUUAGACAAUGGGGGAAACCCUGAUCUAGCCAUGCCGCGUGAUCGAUGAAGGCCUUAGGGUUGUAAAGAUCUUUCAGUGGGGAAGAUAUGACUGUACCCACAGAAGAAGCCCCGGCUAACUCCGUGCCAGCAGCCGCCGUAA